UUGGAGGGCAAGUCUGGUGCCCGCAGCCGCGGUAAUUCCAGCUCCAAUAGCGUAUAUUAAAGNUGUUGUAGUUAAAAAGCUCGUAGUUGAAUUUCGGGGUUAGUAGGUUGGUCAUGCCUCUGGUAUGUACUGGUCUCACUGAUUCCUCCUUCCUGAUGAGCCGUAAUGCCAUUAAUUUGGUGUUGCGGGGAAUUUGGACUGUUACUUUGAAAAAAUUAGAGUGUUUAAAGCAAGCUAACGCUUGAAUACAUUAGCAUGGAAUAAUGAAAUAGGACGUUCGAUCCUAUUUUGUUGGUUUCUAGGAUUGACGUAAUGAUUAAUAGGGAUAGUUGGGGGCAUUAGUAUUCAAUUGUCAGAGGUGAAAUUCUUGGAUUUAUUGAAGACUAACUACUGCGAAAGCAUUUGCCAAGGAUGUUUUCAUUAAUCAAGAACGAAAGUUAGGGGAUCGAAGACGAUCAGAUACCGUCGUAGUCUUAACCAUAAACUAUGCCGACUAGGGAUCGGAUGAUGUUAAUUUUUUAAUGACUCAUUCGGCGCCUUACGGGAAAC
rnacentral:rRNA from 1 species